rnacentral:rRNA from 1 species
GGGGGGGGCAAGCGUUUGUUCGGAUUUACUGGGCGUAAAGGGCUCGUAGGCGGCCAUUUAAGUCGGUUGUGAAAUCCCUCGGCUCAACCGGGGAACUGCGACCGAUACUGAGUGGCUUGAAGCCGGGAGAGGGAUGCGGAAUUCCAGGUGUAGCGGUGAAAUGCGUAGAUAUCUGGAGGAACACCCGUGGCGAAGGCGGCAUCCUGGACCGGUCUUGACGCUGAGGAGCGAAAGCUAGGGUAGCAAACGGGAUUAGAUACCCCGGGUAGUCCUAGCCCUAAACGAUGAAUGCUUGGUGUGGCGGGUAUCGAUCCCCUGCCCGUGCCGUAGCUAACGCGUUAAGCAUUCCGCCUGGGGAGUACGGUCGCAAGGCUG